rnacentral:misc_RNA from 1 species
GAUGAAGAACGUAGCGAAAUGCGAUAAGUAAUGUGAAUUGCAGAAUUCAGUGAACCAUCGAAUCUUUGAACGCACAUUGCGCCCGGCAGUAAUCUGCCGGGCAUGCCUGUCCGAGCGUCAUUUCUACUCUCGAGCGAGUCCAGCAUCUAGGUGCUGGGCCUCGCCCGGCGUUGGAGCACUACGGGAAGCCCUGUGCUGUCCCCCGUAGGCCCCGAAAUGAAGUGGCGGUCCUGCCGCGGCGCCCCCUGCGUAGUAUAACAGCUCGCUUCGGGACCCGGUGGAGGCCUGCCGUCAAACCUAUACUCUCUAAGUUUGACCUCGGAUCAGGUAGGGUUACCCGCUGAACUUAAGCAUAUCAAUAAGCGGAGGA